rnacentral:rRNA from 1 species
AGUGAACGCUGGCGGUAGGCCUAACACAUGCAAGUCGAACGGCAGCACAGUAAGAGCUUGCUCUUACGGGUGGCGAGUGGCGGACGGGUGAGGAAUACAUCGGCAUCUACUUUUUCGUGGGGGAUAACGUAGGGAAACUUACGCUAAUACCGCAUACGACCUACGGGUGAAAGCAGGGGAUCUUCGGACCUUGCGCGAUUGAAUGAGCCGAUGUCGGAUUAGCUAGUUGGCGGGGUAAAGGCCCACCAAGGCGACGAUCCGUAGCUGGUCUGAGAGGAUGAUCAGCCACACUGGAACUGAGACACGGUCCAGACUCCUACGGGAGGCAGCAGUGGGGAAUAUUGGACAAUGGGCGCAAGCCUGAUCCAGCCAUACCGCGUGGGUGAAGAAGGCCUUCGGGUUGUAAAGCCCUUUUGUUAGGAAAGAAAAGCAGCAGGUUAAUACCCCGCUGUUCUGACGGUACCCAAAGAAUAAGCACCGGCUAACUUCGUG